CGGAUUCUGGCUCAGAACGAACGCUGGCGGCGCGUCUUAAGCAUGCAAGUCGAACGGCAAGAGGUAGCAAUACCUCCUAGAGUGGCGGACUGGUGAGUAACACGUGGGUGACAUACCCUUCAGAUGGGGAUAGCUAUUAGAAAUAGUAGAUAAUACCGAAUACGAGCACAGGGGUUAGAGAUCUGUGAGGAAAGGAGCUAAGGCUCCGCUGAAGGAAUGGCCUGCGGCCCAUUAGCUAGUUGGUGAGGUAAGAGCCCACCAAGGCGAUGAUGGGUAUCCGGCCUUAGAGGGUGAACGGACACAUUGGGACUGAGAUACGGCCCAGACUCCUACGGGAGGCAGCAGCUAAGAAUAUUCCGCAAUGGACGAAAGUCUGACGGAGCGACGCCGCGUGGAUGAAAGAAGGCCGGAAGGUUGUAAAAUCCUUUUGAAACUGAAGAAUAAGCGUUGUAGGGAAUGACAGCGUGGUGACAGUAGGUUUUGAAUAAGCAACGGCUAAUUACGUGCCAGCAGCAGC
rnacentral:rRNA from 1 species